rnacentral:lncRNA from 1 species
GGCAACGUCGCGGCCUUCGCCCCGUCACGGCCCGUGAGGAGGGAAGUAGCUGAAAACACUGGCUGCAUCUCUGUGUCUCUUGGAGGUCACUUGCUGAUUUAUCUCCAAUUCGCAGCUCAUUAGAAGGUGUGUAACUCUUCAGAGAUGUUGUUAUUUAACAGCUGCCAAAAGGUGAAGACAACCACUUUAUCUGCAAGAGAAUAUUCAUUUAUGGGACUUCCCUGGUGACAUAGGUUUGAAAUGGGAAAAUGAGCUUAAAGUCUUCUUCAAGAGAGAUUUACUCACAGUUUUCUCCAGUGUGAUUGCUUUGAGUCUGUAAGGUCAUCAUGGUUGAAGGCAUGAAGAUGAGGACAUCAAAGCCUUUGCCCACUUAUGACAAUUACUCUGGAGACAAACACAGCCCAGAAGACAAAUGUUAUGAGCUACCUGUAAGUUCUGGUUCACAAAACAGAUGAGAAUCCAGAGAUACUUCUGAACUUGGAAAUGAAAUUUAUUCUCAAGGUAAUGGUUGAGCUCAUUAUCUGCUGCUCUUUCUAAAUGUAAACUAAGGAGAGCAAUGCCCCUGUAUUCUAUCUAUAACAGCUGACAUGUUUUCUGCAUUCCUGUGUUUGCCUAAGAAGUCAUGGAUAAUCAAUUUGAUGUGCAAAAUAAACUGCAUGGAUGAAUUCUGAUAUGUAUCACUUGCCAUGGCUGUGCUGCUAUGAGAGGCAAAAACUUCCAGGAAGGAAACAGCAAGGAAAAAUCUGCCUGAUAAUUUUCUCAUCAGUUUUUCUCCAAGGACAUAUUUGUAGGUGGAUUCUAUAGACAGUGUUUGGGUAUUUUUCCCCCUCUUGAGUGGCUGGUUCUCUGUGUGUCAAUUAUUUUCUCUUGCUGUAUUAGAAAUCAAAGCUACCUUAUCACUUCAGGAUAAAUAUAUCUAUAUUUAUAUCUCUAUAUCCAUCUCCUAUAAUGCAAACUAGGAAAAACUAACCUGAAACAUUUCAUUUUCAGCCUUUCUUGUUAUUUAAAUAUAUAUUCUAAAUUAUUUUUUAAAUUCCCCACAUGUAUUACAAAUAAUUUCCCAUCUGACUGGGAAGCAGAAUAGGCAGGAACCAGCAGCAGACAGAUGUGAUUAUAAAAGAUGUUCUGUUUGUUAUAAUGAGACUUAUGGUCUUAAUAAACUCUUAGAAUUUUUUUAACACAACCAAAUUAAGUAAGUUUGAAAUCUGAUUUUAUAGAUCUAACCCUAUCAGAUCACUUUUUGUCGUAUUUUUGAGGACAACCCCCCCAAAUUUUUCUUAGUUUUAGAGAAUUUAUCACAAAAUAGAUUAUCCCUAGUUCCAGCAAAGAAAAAAGGGAAAUUUGUACAGAUAAAAAGCAUGAAUGACAAUCCUGAUCAUGUGGAAAAAAUCAAUCUGUGAGCUUAGACAUAGUUUCACAUUAGUCUCCUCCUUUCUUGGAAAUCCAUAUUUCCCCCAGAAUAUCCAGCAUUACGUAGCCUGUCAAAAUUUGCUCAUAAUAUUUCAUGUCCUUCUGCUGGAAAGAAACAGCUGGAUAUUUUGUGUCAUGAUGUGACCAAUCCACCUCUGUUGUUGUCAUUUUAAUUGCUGGGGCUGUAUUUUUAAGUCCUCCACAGAAGGUCUUUGUAGUGACAAGCGAACGGUUCACGCUUCGUAAGCAAACAUAAAGAAUGCUGCUGCUAAUUGGAGAGGGAGUAAUGCAGUUAUGAUUCCAUCAACAUUUAAGUUACAUUGGGAAAGGACACGUUUUUUGUUGUGGUUGUUGUUGCCACAUAAAAUUUUAGUCCAAGUGGAUUUGGUGGGGAAGUUUUUAGAACAGAAGAGGUUAAUCCUGGAAUUACAGGGAUGGGAGAGAUGGAAGUUAAAUUGUUCUAAGCUACAUCUACAGGAUAGAAAUAAGCAUUUUAUUGCUGUUUCUUUGAAACUGUAGUUAUUAAUUGCUGGCUUGUGAAAUAGCUUGUCUGUGAAAAUGGAAAGAAUGGGCAACUUCAGAAAACUCCCUUUCCCCUGCCCUGAAGAACUGCAGCCACAGUGUUUCAUGUGGAGGAGGACUCCUCAAAAAUCAACAGUUUCCCCCAAAAAGCAGUUCUUAUUCAGUAAUUUAAGUCUUUUGGGUGUCUUCCCCUUGAUAUUCUGCCUGUUGUAGCUAUUGACUUCCCAAUUUCUAAAAGUCUGCUGGACCUUGUGCUAACCCUUGGCUUUUUUCCUGAAUUGCAUUUCCAUGGAAUACCUGGCUAUGGAUUAACAGUUUUACAGUUAUGUGCCCAAAGUUCUUUCCUGUUCAUGCUGAUUUAAUUUUUUUUUCUACUCACAUCUCUCUUCUCAGUUGGAGCCCCAUCUUGAGCUAGCCUUAGGAGGACCAAAGGUGCUUCCUUUUCCAGUUCCCUGCCUGGAUUUUAGAAGAUACCAUUUUUUUAGCAUCUAAAGAUGGAAAUCACAGCAAUUUCCAUGGGAAGAAUCUCAGAGAUGACAGAGCUUCCCCCCAAAACACUGCCUGUGUAAUUGCUGAAGACAUUCCAAGCCACUCUAACGAAGUGCUGUCUGCCAGUCAUUAUGUUCUCCUUGGAGGACCAUCUGUUGCACUUCAAAUAUGUAAAGGUCUCUAUCAUUUAUUGCUCCAAACAAAUCCAGGCCUUUGUCUGAUGUGCUGGAGCUCUUGAAUGGAUUCUAAAGGUGGUUUCAGUCACAAAGGGCAGGGUGUUCCCUUUGGUUGUACUCCUUCAGCUCAAAUUUCAGAGCACGAAUAUACUGAUUAAACCAAUAUAUGAAUAUUUUCAAUUUAUUUAGAAAUGAAUUAUGAACAACAGCAUAUAAAAAUAUCUGAAAUAUGUUUUCUUUUAAUUCAGCCAGGAGGACAUUGGAAGAUGUUUGCAUCUGGUGAACAAAUCUUUCUCAUGUAGUGGUAUCCAGAUUUGAUAUAUGCUGAUAUUGGAAGGAAAAUUGCCUUAUUUUAACUAAAUUAAUUAGCUUAUUUGUAUCUGAAAAUAGUGAUUCAAAGGAAUAGUAAAAAAUAGAAUCAGCAGCUUAAAAUGCUCAAGCCUUCCUUAGCACAUGUCCUUUACAAGGAUGUAAUACUUGCUUGUACAGUCAUUAUUUAUAGGUUAAUUAGGAUCCUUUCCCUGAGUAAAAUGAGCAAGAUCAGGCAUUAAAAUAUGCUGGUUUUUUGUUUUUCCUGCUGCAGAUUUUAAAGAGGCUGUGCAAUCAGAUUGGAGAACGUGAGCAUUGUAUUUUCACAGCAGAAAAGUUCUGUUCAGAGAUUUCCAGCCAGAGAAAUCCAUAACGAUUUCUGUCUGAUUAGGGAGUGGUCCUAUCUUUUUCCCUUUCUCCUCUUUCCCUUCUCCUUCCUGCACAGCAGCUAAUGUUCUGGUCAGAAGUAAUAAUAUGUUAGAUCUUGAAUGUCAGUAGCCCCAGAGAUUCUGACAAGACUAUUCAUGUGCAUUCAUAUGUCUUAACCAAAGCUGACACUAAAGAGAGCAAGAAUUCUCAUAUUCCUCUUUUUAUUGCUGUGCAUUAAACUCAAAUCUUCUCUUGGAGACCUCUGCUAGAAAUGACAAAUCCACCAUUUGGAAAAGGCAUUUUAGCAAGGUCUCAACAAAGCAGCUGGACAUCAAUCUGGCACAGGGCAGAAGCUCCUGUGAGAGCUCACAGUGCAAAGCUGAACUCUGGUUUACACCUUACAAAUGCUGUGAGCUAAAUGCUAAUGGGAAAUAACCAUUCCUCCUAAUCUUUCUAAAUUCCAAUUAAAUAAUGAUUUUUUUUUUUUUAAACCAUAGGACAUGUCCUUAUAGGGAUAUUUGGAUUCUGGUAACUCGAGGUUGUUUUCUGAGAAAACACACAUUGAGAGGCUUUAUUUCCCGGAGAGUACCACGGGCAAGCAGUGUCUCAGAAUUCACCAGCCAUGGAUGUGAUUGUUCUCCAUUGUCUUGCUGUUCUCAGGUCCUGUGCAUGGAACUGGGAAAGCUUCAAGGUUGAAUUCAAAAUUCCUCAGUUGAUAUCUUAGGUUUCUUCCCUCAUUUGUAGAUAUUUUAUCAGCUCCUUAUCCUGCGUUUAGGUUUACUGACAAAUGAUGUUCUGCACUUGUGCUGGGAUCCUACAGAAGGGUUUAUUGGGAUGAAUGUGCCAGGACUGAUGAACCAGAUCCCAAAAUGCAUUAUGUACAGAAGUGGGCUGAGGUCCUCAAACCUGGGAGGUGCAGCCACGCCAAAGCCAGUGCCAGACACUAAUCCUCUCCUCCAGACACUGAGCUGUGCUGUUUGAGGGAAAAGAAAUGGGGAAAUGAUCCUGGAAUCAAUUCAGACUUGCAAGAACCAUUAUCCUGGAUAUCCAAAUCUACCCAACCCUUUUUACCAAAUGAUUUUUUCCUCUUAGUGCUACAGCCAUACCAACUCUCACGUGCUUAAUGCUGCUUUCCCCAUGUCCUUCAUCCCCUUGGAGAUGAAGAACCUCUCCCGCAGGGACACCACGGUGCCGCUGGGACUCCCAAGGGGCUCGGGCUGGCCCUGGGCACCCAGGAAUGCUCCUCGCAGCCCUGGGCUGCAGCCAGCCCAGGGAAAACCAUCUGUUCCCUUUGGAAAGGGGUUUGCUUCCCCCCGGAGCCCUCCCCCCGCAUCCCGGCUCCGGCCCCAGCUGCCGUGUUUCGAUGAGCACUGAGGGAAUGAAUCUCCUGCGUUUAAAAAUACUCUGCUUCUAUUUAGAUGAAAAGAAGAAUCUUGCUUGCCUACACUGGCAUACAAAAAUAGGCUCAGUGUGAGUAAAUCUUCAAAGUUUCUCUUGGUGAAUAUAUCUAGCCUCACUUUUUUUUUUUUUUAACUUAUAUGAUAAGUUUAUUUAUAGAGUGUCCUUCUUUCCUCCUACUCUAUCAAGACAUUUGCAGAAGGUUGUCGCUCGUCUUGUUCAGGAGUCCUGAAAUAAUUUGCAGUGCCUUUGAAACAUCAUCGUGUUGCAUAGUUGUGAUCAACGUGCUGCUGUUGCAUGAACAUAUCAUAUUUUAAUGUGAAUGUCAGGUUAGCUGAGACAUUCAGGGCUUUCUUUGACUUUAGCUGCUUUACACUGGUUUGUGUUUUCGCUUGAACACUGCAGUAAAAAUUCUGCAUAUAGUAAUUUAAAAUUUUCCAUUUUACAUGCAAGGCAUUGCCUAGAAAAUUAAUGUGUAAUAUGAGAGGAUUAGUAAGAUGUAUACACUUUCCAAACAUCUCUUAAAAAUAGCUUUCACUGUCACUGUAGCAUCUUAAUUCUGAAUAAUCUCACAGUCCUUCUGCAAAUCUGUGCAUGUAGUAACAGAGAAGCCACCUACUUCAUCCUCUUGAACUGCACAAUAUGGAUCUGGGCAUGGAAAAAAAUGGGUUUUGGAGUAGGGCUCUGCUUUGGCAGAGAGGCUGUCUGUGGAACUACUGAGAGCAUUAACGCUUGCAUUAAAUAUUAAAAUCAGCUUUC